UACACUCCUGCGGGAGGCAGCAGUGGGGAAUAUUGCACAAUGGGCGCAAGCCUGAUGCAGCCAUGCCGCGUGUAUGAAGAAGGCCUUCGGGUUGUAAAGUACUUUCAGCGGGGAGGAAGGCGAUAAGGUUAAUAACCUUGUCGAUUGACGUUACCCGCAGAAGAAGCACCGGCUAACUCCGUGCCAGCAGCCGCGGUAAUACGGAGGGUGCAAGCGUUAAUCGGAAUUACUGGGCGUAAAGCGCACGCAGGCGGUCUGUCAAGUCGGAUGUGAAAUCCCCGGGCUCAACCUGGGAACUGCAUUCGAAACUGGCAGGCUAGAGUCUUGUAGAGGGGGGUAGAAUUCCAGGUGUAGCGGUGAAAUGCGUAGAGAUCUGGAGGAAUACCGGUGGCGAAGGCGGCCCCCUGGACAAAGACUGACGCUCAGGUGCGAAAGCGUGGGGAGCAAACAGGAUUAGAUACCCCGGUAGUCCCAUGAU
rnacentral:rRNA from 1 species